AUAUCACUAUUUUGUAAUUUGUUACUAUCCGCCAUUCAAUCGUGCGAUUGGUAAAUUAAACAAACGAAGAAGAAAAUAUUAACCAAUCAAAGGACGACCGGCCAUAUUUAAUGACAGACACGUCAUGAAAGGUGCAACGAAAAUGCGUACGGUAAUAAUCGAAGAUCCAACAAUUUGAUCUGAAUUUAACAUGAACGAUAUUCACUCUCUGGAAUCGCACAAAUCCUAAAACACAUAUCGAACUUCGACGAUUUGUCAGCGCGUUCUUCGCAAUCCAAAGAUCCUAGGUUUGUUUACCCGGGCGCUCAGUCUCUGGACCAUUGUACCCGGGCGCUCAGUCUCUGGACCAUUGUACCCGGGCGCUCAGUCUCUGGACCAUUGUACCCGGGCCCCUUACGGGGAGAAACCUAUGACCAUAGCGGUCCCGCGGGCAGCCCCGACUCCCUUGCAAAGCGCAGGAGUCUGGCCGCCUCUGAGUCCACUAGGUCGGAAUUAUGAAUAAUUAAUUUCAAAUGUUUAUUAAAUAUAAAAGAGAAAAUUAAUUUUUACAAAUUAAAUUUCAUACUUUUUAAAAUAAAGUAAAUCGAAUUAACCUUAAACGUUUAACAUUUGUGCUUAAAUUUAAACAAUUUUUUAAGAUAACUUA